CCCAGUAAACGGCGGCCGUAACUAUAACGGUCCUAAGGUAGCGAAAUUCCUUGUCAGGUAAAUUCUGACCCGCACGAAUGGCGUAACGACUUGGGCGCUGUCUCAACGAGAGAUCCGGUGAAAUUUUAAUACCUGUGAAGAUGCAGGUUACCCGCGACAAGACGGAAAGACCCCAUGGAGCUUUACUGCAGCUUGAUAUUGGACUUUGGUACGAUCUGUACAGGAUAGGUGGGAGCCUUUGAAGCCUGAGCGCCAGCUUGGGUGGAGGCAUCGUUGGGAUACCACCCUGAUCGUAUCGGAGUUCUAACCUGGUACCGUGAUCCGGUAUGGGGACAGUGUCAGGUGGGCAGUUUGACUGGGGCGGUCGCCUCCUAAAAUGUAACGGAGGCGUUUAAAGGUUCCCUCAGAAUGGUUGGAAAUCAUUCGCAGAGUGCAAAGGCAUAAGGGAGCUUGACUGCGAGACCUACAAGUCGAGCAGGGACGAAAGUCGGACUUAGUGAUCCGGUGGUACCGAAUGGAAGGGCCAUCGCUCAACGGAUAAAAGCUACCCUGGGGAUAACAGGCUUAUCUCCCCCAAGAGUCCACAUCGACGGGGAGGUUUGGCACCUCGAUGUCGGCUCAUCGCAUCCUGGGGCUGAAGUAGGUCCCAAGGGUUGGGCUGUUCGCCCAUUAAAGCGGUACGCGAGCUGGGUUCAGAACGUCGUGAGACAGUUCGGUCCCUAUCUGUCGCGGGCGUAGGAAAUUUGAGAGGAGCUGUCCUUAGUACGAGAGGACCGGGAUGGACGUACCGCUGGUGUACCAGUUGUCUCGCCAGAGGCAUCGCUGGGUAGCUAUGUACGGAGGGGAUAAGCGCUGAAAGCAUCUAAGCGCGAAGCCCCCCUCAAGAUGAGAUUUCCCAGUAUGUAAGACCCCUUGUAGACGACGAGGUUGAUAGGUUCGAGGUGGAAGUGCAGCAAUGUAUGCAGCUGACGAAUACUA
rnacentral:rRNA from 1 species